UGAUCUGCAGCCCCAUCACUCCACCCUGUAGAAACCAAAACAGUGCAUUCAAUUUAAAUUCAAACAGACCUCAUAUGGGACAUAAUUCAUUUUUUCCCCUAUGGUCACGGAUGCAAUUGUCUUUUACGGCAGACCAUGCACAAAAUUUUCUAGAGUCUAGUGUACACUGCAUCCACCAUAACCCAAGUCAAUUUUGGUACAAAAAAAGAGUGAGGGACAAGUUUCUAGGUCUCAUUGAUGCCAAAACACAUUGCACCAUAAAAUGCAGUUAUUUAUUGCAAUUAUUUACACCCCACUUUUCAGGAUACAAAUCCUUCCCAUGUGGUUUAUGAACAAUAUAAUCUCAAUGCACAAUCUCAAAAUAUAAUAAAGCUGCUGUCAUUUGUCUCCGUCCGCCAGUUUGCCUGAGUGUUCUGCAUGCAGCUGUAAGGCUUGAGUCUAGAAGCAAAGUUUUACGUUUUUAAAACACUCUGACGAAAUCUAAAUGGAAGGGGUACUUGCAGACUGACAUAAUUGUAAAGGUUUUUCUACAGCUUGUUUCAAAUGUUCAAAGCACAUUAACGUGUUCUCACAAUGAUUAUUCCAAUAGCCCUGUAAGUUUGGUCAGUAAUAUUAUCCCAAUAUUACAGAUUGGAAGACUGAGGCCUUAAAGAACAGCACAGCUUGCAUAAAUCCACCUCGGCAAGUGAAGAGCAGUUCUGAAUGGGACACUUUUAAGUUUACACUUUGCACGGCUGAACCAAGUUGAGGCGUUAGCAAAAAGAGCCUUUUGGAAAUGCAACGGGCAAAUGCGACUAGAAGCAAAGCUCAUUGUUUGAAAGAGGCCUUGAUCUUGAGAAGAUAGCAAGCCCAAACAAGGAAAGUCAAAUAUUUGCUCCAUUAAUCGCAUUCCUUAUAAUGUGCAUCUGCCAAAGAGCACCAUUUGUACAAACUGUUACCCAGCUGCCCUUGUUCAAAUAUGCUGGAUACUCAAGAGGAGGGGGAAGAGGUUGGAAACAAACAUUAAACAGGACACAAAGGCUCUCGGGGUGCAGCUGCCGCCUUGUGGGGCUUGCUCAGAAGUGGACUCACAGGGCAGCUGCCCCACAGGCUUCCCACUCUCAUUGCGGAUCAACCCCCCCCAUCACGCAGGCCGACCCCACACUGCCACAAGGAGGGUGAGUCCCAAACCCCAUCCUGAGGCACAGAACACACGGGGGCUUCUGACAGGAGAGGCUGACACAGAGAGGCCCAUGUGCCCCCUCCCCACCUGAAGAGAUGCUGGGUCGAGGGUCUUCUUGGCAGCCCACAAGCGAGGCAUAAAGCAACUGUUCUCCUGCACGGGAGGCUCCCAGAUUCUGGUGUCGCAGCUAACGGCCUUUGCACAGCAGACUGCAUUCCAUGAUUCUAACCAACCUCAACAGCCAUCUCUUGGAAAUUCUGACCAGCAGAUUCAACCACAUCACGGAGGCGGAAAAUGGGGCAAAAGGGGUCCGUUUUGGCAUUGUAUUUGCAGUUCUUGAGAUCUCAAGGUCAAGAUUUUAUCAAAAAAAGUGAGCAAAAUGAUUAGCAGGCACAAAGAAGACCACACCAGCUCCUACCAUUGCUGUGUGUCCCAACGUAUCCUUCCGUGCAGUUUUCGCUAGAAUGGCACCGUGUGGUUUUAUCUGGAAACUGGAGAGGAAGAAGAUGGUGCAGAUAAACGGAAAGGCAGUGCUUGCCAUGCCCUCUCCCUCCACCCCGUGGCCUCCAAAACUAGCGCUUAUGAAAGGGUUUGCAUGGGGUCACAUCAAAACAAAAAAGCUCUUUCUGAACUAGUUAAUCCACUAUGCUUGGAUUCAUUGAAAUAAAUCAAAUAAGCGGGAGCUAACAAGAACAGCUCUUCACUCAAAGAAAGGAAGGAAAGAAACAACCAACGAGAGAGUCAGAAUUCUGCACAGAGGCAAAUUGGGCAGUCUACAUAAAUUGGGAUAUGUGCUAAAAACACUUUGAUCCAACCAAGUUGGCAAACACCACAAUUUAAAACAAUAGUAUGCAGAGAAAAAAGACCGUAGUACUUAUGUAGGUCCUCUUCCUUUCUGAUUGUGGGUGUCAUACAAUACAGUGGUACCUCGGGUUACAAACACUUCAGGUUACAGAAGUAGUACUUCAGGUUAAGAACUUUACCUCAGGGUAUGGGAGAGGUACAAAGAUCUAAUAGAACAAAAAACACCUUGGUGGCUAUCACCAAUUGAAGCUUCGUUACUCAAGCCGCUUGGCAAAAAGGGGAAGUGGCCUACAUAUAGAGAUCUACUGAGGGACCAAGAAGGGAAAUGGAAAUUAAAAGAGUUUGAGGAAAUCAAAGACCAUUUUCAGAGUUGGCUACACUAUAGACAACUUUAUGAGAUGUAUAAGGAAGAUAGUAAGAAAGGGUUUAGUUAUACAACUUCCAGAUUUCAAAAGGAAGUUAUAGAAGAAGAAGGGAAGCUGCUGAAGAAAGCAUAUAGUAUUCUGCUAGAAUGGGAAA